rnacentral:rRNA from 1 species
AGAGAAAGAGGGAGGCAGGCCUAACACAUGCAAGUCGAACGAACUCUUCGGAGUUAGUGGCGGACGGGUGAGUAACACGUGGGAACGUGCCUUUAGGUUCGGAAUAACUCAGGGAAACUUGUGCUAAUACCGAAUGUGCCCUUCGGGGGAAAGAUUUAUCGCCUUUAGAGCGGCCCGCGUCUGAUUAGCUAGUUGGUGAGGUAAAGGCUCACCAAGGCGACGAUCAGUAGCUGGUCUGAGAGGAUGAUCAGCCACAUUGGGACUGAGACACGGCCCAAACUCCUACGGGAGGCAGCAGUGGGGAAUCUUGCGCAAUGGGCGAAAGCCUGACGCAGCCAUGCCGCGUGAAUGAUGAAGGUCUUAGGAUUGUAAAAUUCUUUCACCGGGGACGAUAAUGACGGUACCCGGAGAAGAAGCCCCGGCUAACUUCGUG